AGAGUUUGAUCCUGGCUCAGGACGAACGCUGGCGGCGUGCUUAACACAUGCAAGUCGAACGGACCUUAUCUGACAGAUUUCUUCGGAUUGACGACAUAUAAGGUUAGUGGCGGACGGGUGAGUAACACGUGGAUAAUCUACCGUAAAGACCGGGACAACAGUUGGAAACGACUGCUAAUACCGGAUGUUGUGCAGAGGCGGCAUCGCUUUUGCAUUAAAGGAGGCCUCUAUAUAUAAGCUCCCGCUUUAUGAUGAGUCCGCGUCUGAUUAGCUAGUUGGUGGGGUAAGGGCUCACCAAGGCGACGAUCAGUAGCCGGCCUGAGAGGGUGAUCGGCCACAUUGGGACUGAGACACGGCCCAAACUCCUAGGGGAGGCAGCAGUGGGGAAUAUUCCGCAAUGGGCGCAAGCCUGACGGAGCAACGCCGCGUGAAUGAAGAAGGUCUUCGGAUUGUAAAGUUCUGUCAUUAGGGACGAAGGACCUAUGCGAAUAGUGUAGGGAAUGACGGUACCUAAGGAGGAAGCUCCGGCUAACUACGUGCCAGCAGCCGCGGUAAUACGUAGGGAGCAAGCGUUGUCCGGAAUUACUGGGCGUAAAGGGCGCGUAGGCGGACGGAUAAGUCAGAUGUGAGAUCUCCGGGCUCAACCUGGAGCGUGCAUUUGAAACUGUCUGUCUUGAGGGCAGGAGAGGAAAGUGGAAUUCCUAGUGUAGCGGUGAAAUGCGUAGAUAUUAGGAGGAACACCAGUGGCGAAGGCGACUUUCUGGACUGAACCUGACGCUGAGGCGCGAAAGCAUGGGGAGCGAACGGGAUUAGAUACCCCGGUAGUCCAUGCCGUAAACGAUGGAUACUAGGUGUAGGAGGUAUCGACCCCUUCUGUGCCGCAGCAAACGCAAUAAGUAUUCCGCCUGGGGACUACGAUCGCAAGAUUAAAACUCAAAGGAAUUGACGGGGACCCGCACAAGCGGUGGAGCAUGUGGUUUAAUUCGACGCAACGCGAAGAACCUUACCAGGGCUUGACAUCCCCUGCCUAUCAUGGAAACAUGAGUUUCGAUCCUUCGGGAUUGACAGGGUGACAGGUGGUGCAUGGCUGUCGUCAGCUCGUGUCGUGAGAUGUUGGGUUAAGUCCCGCAACGAGCGCAACCCCUACUUUUAGUUGCCAACACGUCAAGGUGGGAACUCUAAAAGAACUGCCGGUGACAAACCGGAGGAAGGUGGGGAUGACGCCAAGUCAUCAUGCCCUUUAUGUCCUGGGCUACACACGUGCUACAAUGGCCGGUACAGAGGGUAGCCAAGCUGCGAAGCGGAGCCAAUCCCAAAAAGCCGGUCUCAGUUCGGAUUGCAGGCUGCAACCCGCCUGCAUGAAGUCGGAAUCGCUAGUAAUCGCAAGUCAGCAUAUUGCGGUGAAUACGUUCCCGGGUCUUGUACACACCGCCCGUCACACCACGGAAGUUGGCAACACCCGAAGUCGAUGAGCUAACCGCAAGGAGGCAGUCGCCUAAGGUGGGGUUGAUAACUGGGGUGAAGUCGUAACAAGGUA
rnacentral:rRNA from 1 species